UUUGAGGGCAACCUUUUUACUAUGCGUUCAUCAAAAUUUAUAUUAUUCAGAACGCAUAUAUUUACUUCAGUUUUCAUUGAUUUAGAUCUUAAAUCAGUUAUGAAAUUGGCAUAAUAAUUAUUUAAUUGGUACAUUCUGUUGAGCCGUUCAUAGAACUCGCGGCAAUAAGCACGCGCGAGACAUCGAGGGUCAUCUUCGACGCGUCCACUCCCGCGUUUUUUUGUUUCGUUAUUCAAUUGUUAUGUACGCGUUCCUCCUCGUGGUCGUAUGAUCGCAUGGUCGGCCGUAUAAUGUAUAAUCGCGGAGUGUUAAAAAUAUAUUUGUCUACUUAUCAAGUGAUUCGUUUAUUUUAAGUUAUUGAAGUGCAUUCAUCUUCUCAUCAGGCAUCAAAGUGCAUUUAUCUCCUCGUCAGGUUAUGGACCUAAAAAUCCAUAAACUAAAAUACUUAGGUUGCGCGUAAGGCUUUAGUUACUGUACCUACGACGAGGAUAGACCCACUAGAAAGAAACGAUCGCCUGUGAAUUAGCGUUUAAAUUACGAAAAUUUAAUGGAAUUCGCAUCUUUGUUGAAUUGGUCACAAUUAUAUAAACUUACUAUUGCAAUUCAUAGAACCAUGGAAUUGUUUAGAUUACCAGAAAAUGGUAAAAUGAUUCAUUUAAAUGAUGUUUUUCAACAGGACCUUGAUAUUUGGAGUGAAUCUCCUGAUUUACCAUGGACAGCUGAGCGCUAUAAAACAAAGGAGGAUAUAAAACAUGAUCCCGAAGCAGUGCGACGUGUAAGAAAAUUCGCAUUCAUGGUUAAGAACGGUGAUGGCCUAAGUGUACUUGAUUGUUUGGUCUUUGCUAGAUCACAUAUUUGUGAUGAAGGCGAGUACAAGGUUAGGGCAGUUUGAGGAUAUCCAUUUACGCUCGUAUUUAUCGCAGCUAUAGACGCCCUGCCUUUAAUUAGAGCAUAUCAGAAACGACUUCCAGGGUGGUAUGCGUAAGGUAGUGUGCCGGUACCAGCGGUCGGGAAUAAACUAUACCAACUUAUAUUUCAAGAAAUUUGAUAAAACAGUUCUCGCUUGGCUUAUUGAAGUAGCUUUUGAUGUAUUGAUGUUAAACAUCAGUUUUCUAUAUUAUGAAGAUCAUAGUGUGGCAAAUAUGGCCACAGGUUUAAAAAACAAUCAGGUAUAGCUUAAUAUUAUCCUAAUCCUGUGGAUAACAAUCAAGCAAUGUGGAAUUCUUCCUGAGGACCAAAUUGUUCUUAGUGAUAAUAGCUUAAUUAGCUCUUCUAGAAAGUGGUCGAUUCCAUGGUGCAAUUCGUUCCUUCAAACAAUUGAAAUGCAGCUUAAUGUAAACAAGAGUGAAGAAGGCAAUACUAUCUACCCUAAAAUUUCUGGGUUAUAGAAUAAAUCAUGAUACUCCUGAAAGACCAGAUAAGAAAAUCUCAGAUCUACAAAAUAGAGGCACAGGAAAAAUAGAUAAAGUCUAAUCGUAAGGCUCGCGCUGAAUUAGUCUUACUUAUGCAUGCAAAAAAGUUGCAAUAGAUUUGAAGCUGCAACACCUCACAUGAAAUUUGGAAGAAGCUCGAGCCAGUGUAUGCUUCCAAAGGACCAGCGAAAAAACCAUAUUUCUCAAGCAUUUGUUUAGAUAUCACUCUAGGACAUGAUUUCGUUAUCGUGAGUCAACAGGGUUAUAUAAAUGACAUUCUUAAUCGAUAUGGGAUGAUGCGGGGAAAGUAUCUAGUAGUUCCCUAGUAUCACAAACUAAUUAGCUUGUUAAUAUAUUUGACUACAGGUACUAGACCAAAUAUAUCCAAUGUAAUAUCCAAGCUUGCUCAGGUUAUCAAUGAUUUGCAACCACAGAAUAUGAGGGCUACAAAGCGGAUCCUAAAGUAUUUAACAGGUACGAGGACUCUUGAAAUUAAAUAAACCAGGUCUGAUAAGAAGCUGUUGGGAUAUUUGGACCCAGACUGGGGUGGAUGCGCCCAUAACAGGUGAUCCUAUACAGGCUAUACAUUCCUUCUUGCGAACAGAAUAAUAGUAUGGAAGUCACAGAAGCAGAGAACUGUGACAUUAUCGUCAACCAAGGUGGAAUAUAUCAGCCUAUCUGAGACAGUGGAGGAAGUUCUACAUGUAAGGAGUCUCCUUGAUGAAUUAGUAUUUAGGAAAUUCACUGAGACUACUUUGAACAUUGAUAACAAUAGGGCAAAAUGUUUAGCUAGUGAUCCUCUGUGUCAUUCUUGAAUUAAGCACAUAGACAUUAGGCAUCACUUUGUUCGAGAUGCAAUUGGAAAGGGAUUAGUUACCCUUAAACAUGUUCCAUUGAGCCAGAUGAUCGCGAAUAUUUUGACCAAGCCAUUAUCACGAGUAACACACUGGAGAUAUAUCAAUGAGCUUGGGUGUUGCUCUAAAGAUAGUCAUCUCAAAAUUGAGCGUGCUUCUUGUUUAGUCAAUAAGCAAAACAAAUUAUUUCUAAAUGAUUUUGGCCAAAAAAUGUUCAUGAUUAUUACGUAAACAUAAAUAUGUAUAUUUUACAUGUAGUUUUGAAAAUUAUAGUUUAAGUAGUGAGAACUAUUACAGUAAAUUGUUAAAAAAUUUAUUUACACAAAAAUAAAUAAAUGUAUAUAAUUUUAAUAACAUUAUUAAAGAUGUUUUCUGUUCCUUUUGGCACGUAUUUAUGUAAAAUAUAAAUUAAACAUAAAAGCUGUUGAUAUUAUUGAAACCAACUGGUCUAUGUAAAAAUUUCCAAAAAUACUUUACAAUCCGUUGUAAAGCAAAUAAUGCGAUAACUAAAUGCGAUAAUUUAUGCGAUAAAUAUUGCAUAAAUUAAGAGUUAACAUGGAAAAUACCUAAUUUCAGAAACAAAAAAUGAUUAAUGCUUUAAUAGCUUGUAAUAGAAUUGUUGUCAAUAAUUGUUAAUAUUUUAUAUAAUAUGACACGUCUGCAUUAAUAUUAAUUCGAGUAAUUUAUUAAUAUCUGAAAAUUAACAUAAUAACAAACACAAUAAAAUAGAAUUAUUUUUAACAUUGUUAACAAACGAAGUCAUUUCAAAACGAAUCGUUUGUUUUUUUAAAUAAAAUACCUAUGAAAUUACUUAAAAAUUAUAUCUGAUUAAACAAAUCGGUGUAAUUUUUUUUUUAUUUCACAAAAAUAACAUUUUCGGUCAGUAAUGUCCAGAUCUGGUUACAACUCAGAAGAAAAUGUUUAUUGGAUGAUGCAUGCUUUUGUGUAUGCGUAUGUGGGAGUGAAAGAGUGGGAAAAGUUAAAAAAAGGAGUCGACGUAUAUGUCGAGAUGUAACGUGAAUCACAACCUUGGGCUACUCUGACUAUUCUGCCUGGCUGUUUACUAAACAAUUUUGCGCCAUCUCUAUUGUCUAAUUCUACAAACAUUAAUCAACAUUAACAAUCUUAUACAUCAAAAUAUGGUUCUAAGUCGUCUAUGUGUUCUCCUGUACCCACAAAAAUCACUGGACUUUGUGUUGCAGCAACUCUGUAAAAAUAUAUUCACAAUAAUAUAAGAAACUUUCAAAAUGUAUAAUAAUAGAAUGAUAAGUAAACAAAAUUAUAG